GCGUCAGCAGAGAGAAAAUCUGUCAGUAGAGGCGAAUCUUCUUUCUCACUGCCGUUCAGUGGUCGUCCCCGUCCCUUUUGGGUAGGAGUGGCCUCCCUCCUUUACUUGGAUGUUAGGUACCUUUUACCUGCUGUUUGUGUUUUAGUUUGUUGCUUGUGAAUCUGUGUGGGGGAGGAGUAUGUUGGAGACGUUCAUGGCAUUGUUUUUACAGCUUUGAAUAUCGAAAACUCUAUAAGAGAGCGAGAUAGCCAGAGGACCACCCUCUGUCUUUUCAGUGAACAUGGUUUGGUGCUUGCUUGCUUUGUUUGGAUGGCUGGUGUGGAUCUCUCUGAUCUAGGGCUCUUUGUGCUUGGGACGGUUCCUUCAGGCUUCUGCCGAGUCUUGGUCCUGUGGUGCUUCGUCAAUCUCCUCUUCCCCCUAGCGAAGAAUCUGUGACUUUUCAGUAUACCCCUCAACUGUGUGGUUUGGCUUCAAUUCCCUUUCCCGUGGGCCGUUGUUUUUUGGGGUUAUGGUUAUCAAUCGUUAAGCCGAGGUCUCCAGUCAGUAUGAUGUGUUCCCCAUUGUUCAUGGCCGUCUACGGCGUUUGAAUGCCCUCCCUUGUGCCUUCGUGUUGAGUGUGUUUGC
rnacentral:misc_RNA from 1 species